GCUUUAGUACUGUAAUUGGCAACACCCGCCCCUUCCAAGGGUGAAAUCUGGGUUCGAAUCCCAGCUAAAGCA
rnacentral:tRNA from 1 species